rnacentral:miRNA from 1 species
UUUGGGAGGCUGAGGCAGGUGUAUCUAUUGAGCUCAGGAGUUCAGGAUCAGCCUGGGCAACAAAGUGAGACCUCCGUCUCUAGAAA